UAGCUUAUAGCUCAGUGGAAGAGCGCCUGGCAACAGGAGGCAUGAGUUCAAUUCUCAUUAAACUACU
rnacentral:tRNA from 1 species